CUGGGCUCCCGCGGGCUACAAUGGGCGAGACAAUGGGUUUCCACCUCGAAAGAGGGCGGUUAUCUCCGAAACUCGGUCGUAAUUUGGAUUGAGGGUUGAAACUCCCCCUCAUGAAGCUGGAUUCCGUAAUAAUCCCCUUUCACAAGAGUGCGGUGAAUACCUCCCUGCUCCUUGCACAAA
rnacentral:rRNA from 1 species